rnacentral:lncRNA from 1 species
AUGAGCCUGGGAUACUUGGCAAGACCGUCCUGCUUCAGAGAAGUGAAGCAACUUGCCCAAGAUCACACAGACAGCAAGUGGACAGAGCCAGGAUUCAAACCCAGGAAGUCUGGCUCUGGAGUCCUUGCCCUUAGCCACCUUUCUCGGAAAGAUGCAAGUUACAUUAUUGCAACACAUGGGACAUGUACUCCUUGCAGUGGUUCUGGGAGAAAUCUCUGUCCAGAAAUCACGCCAGCUUGCUGUUUGAGAUGACUGCUGAAGAACUAGUCCAGUGAACCCACUUCAAAUGAGGUAAGGGAGCUGUGAUUGGGCCGCAUGACGACCAAUCAGCUGUCCUAAAACAAAGAUGCCUGGUUGCAAGCAAGAACUUUCCUUGUUAGCCCCAUUAAAAGCUGGAUAGUUUGGAUUUGAAGUGAAGAGGAAGGCUUGACUUGCCCUCCAGCUGCUGGGAGAAUCUUUUCAAGGAUCAGCUGUGGAGACCUGUAGGAUCAUCUAGUUUGUACACCUCUUCUUCUGCCUGGUUGGAAGGAAGACACCAGGGGAAGGCACUUUCCACCCACCACCCCGUCUUGCACCCCUGGUCUCCAGCACUCCCAUUAAGAUGUAAGUGGAUGAUCUGAGAUGAUCUGACUCUUACCUGCCCUUCACAGCAAGAAUCAGAAAACAAGGGUUCACUGAAUUGCAUUCUUGAGCAGAGGGCAGCAUCUUGGAUACUCUGAGAGUGUAGUUUCUGGCAUCAAACCCUCCCCAUCAGAAAUAGGCAGGCUCACAGGUGGUGGGAGCAUAAAAUUGGUACAACUCUUCUACAGGGCAACUUGGCAAAAUCUAUCAAAAUUAGAAAUGGGGAUACCCUUUGGACCAAUAAUUUCCCUUCUACAAAUACACUUUUCCAUAUUUGUGCAAAGUGGUGUGUGGACUCCAACAGUGUUGGUACUAGCACAAUAUUUGAAGCAACUUAAAGGAUGCUCCAGAGGGAAUAUAAGUAAAUAGUACCUCUAUACAAUGGGAUUCUAUACAGCCAUGGAAAAAGAAUUUUAAAACUCAUGCAUGGGGAUCCCUGGGUGGCGCAGCGGUUUAGCGCCUGCCUUUGGCCCAGGGCGCGAUCCUGGAGACCCGGGAUCGAGUCCCACAUCGGGCUCCCGGUGCAUGGAGCCUGCUUCUCCCUCUGCCUGUGUCUCUGCCUCUCUCUCUCUCACUGUGUGCCUAUCAUAAAUAAAUAAAAAAAUUAAAAAAAAUAAAUAAAACUCAUGCAUGAAUGUGAAAAGCUCCCCAAGACAUAUUGUGAAGUGUAGAAAAAGAAAAGGUAGAGUAGGAUUUGUACUGUUUGUACAAGUUGGCAAGACACUUGGAGAGGGAACGUGCAUAUGAAUGUGUGUGUGUGUGUGUGUGUGUGUGUAAGAAAAUAUCCCUGAAAGGUAACAUAAGGAAUGGGUAAUAUCAAUUGCCUACAGGGAAAGAAACCGUAUGAACUAUAUGGCUGGGGUUAGGAGUGGGAAGAAGUGUUCACUGGAUACCCUUUUAUACUUAGAAAAAGUGAGAUCAUGUGCAUCCAUCAUUUAAAAAUAAAUAUUUUUAAUAGAAAUAUAACUUGUCCGCACCACAGACUCAAAGAUCAUCUAACCAGAGCUGGGGAGGGAGGCAGUGGGAAUUGUGAUCUAUAAUUCUCUCACUAGAUUUGGGGAUGAAAAUGGGAGCAUGUUCGACUUCCUGGUAGUUUCCUUCCAGUGAAUAUCUUCCUACUUUCUCACAAUGAAGGAAAGGGAGGAAAUGCCCCCAGGCCAAACCAACCCUUGGUCGUUUCCAGUACCAUUGGGAAGGCAG